UGCCUGCAGGGGGAAGGAGACCACCACCGCCCAGAGAAGAAGGAGAGCCGUUUGCCUGCCUGCCUGCCUGCCUGCCUGCCUGCCUGCCUGCCUGCCUGCCUGCCUGCCUGCCUGCCUGCCUGCCUGCCUGCCUGCCUGCCUGCCUGCCUGCCUGCCUGCCUGCCUGCCUGCCUGCCUGCCUGCCUGCCUGCCUGCCUGCCUGCCUGCCUGCCUGCCUGUACUCGGCUACCACCACCACCCUCUUCCUGUUGGACUUCUGCUCUGCAGGGCUCACGUCUUGCAGGACCAGGCCCCCAGGUUAACAGAAGUUGGAAUUUUUUCUGGAAGCCAUUAACAUGGAAAUGAGCGCAAAAAUUCUACUUGAUUCCUUUAGAUUUCCAGAAGUGGCUUUUACAUCAUGUGAAAGAUAACAUAAAACACCAAAACACCGGUACAGCAAUCCUACAUCAAGGAAACCAGCAUAACUCAAGUCGGCUAAUGUUAUUCUGGCUUAAAAUAUGCUAGAUCCUAACUCUAUCAGGAGCCCGUGGAAGAGGAGAAUUCUAGCUCAGCCAGCAGCCUUUUUCUUGGCUUAAAUUAUGCUGGGACUGGAGGUCGCAUGAAUGAGUUGAAUGGUUGUAGGAAAUGGUGUAUGUUCCUUUCCCCUCAGUCCCCCCCCGAGCACCACUUUUGGGGGACUUACGCUGGCUUUUUGCUGGUCUUGGCUGAGCCAGCUGAGCCGGGAGGGGCGAGAUUUGCCAGCUCAGCCCCGGCUGAGCUGGGGUGAGUGACUUAUUUUGGCAUAGCCUGGCUAAGACAGGACCCAAUUGACUCAGCCAGACAGCCACUGAAUCCUCAGUCCGGCAUAAAUACCUAUAGGUUUGCACCCUUACAAAUUUAAAAUGGAUUAGUUUUUGCAUUUUAUUUUCUUGUAAAUCACUUUGGGGGAAUUUUUUGAGAUUCAAAAGGCAGUAUAAAAAUGUUGCAAUAAAUGAAGAUUUUUGAAACAACACCACUUUCCUAUCAACACCAUUUUAGCACCAUGGAGGGCUGUAGA